rnacentral:rRNA from 1 species
GAUGAACGCUGGCGGCGUGCUUAACACAUGCCAGUCGAACGGAAAGGCCGAAGCUUGCUUCGGUACUCGAGUGGCGAACGGGUGAGUAACACGUGGGUGAUCUGCCCUGUACUUCGGGAUAAGCUUGGGAAACUGGGUCUAAUACCGGAUAUGACGAUCUCUUGGAUGGGGUUGUGGAAAGCUUUUGCGGUAUGGGAUGAGCUCGCGGCCUAUCAGCUUGUUGGUGGGGUAAUGGCCUACCAAGGCGUCGACGGGUAGCCGGCCUGAGAGGGUGUACGGCCACAUUGGGACUGAGAUACGGCCCAGACUCCUACGGGAGGCAGCAGUGGGGAAUAUUGCACAAUGGGCGCAAGCCUGAGGCAGCGACGCCGCGUGGGGGAUGACGGCCUUCGGGUUGUAAACUCCUUUCGCAAUCGACGAAGCCUUUUGGUGACGGUAGGUUGAGAAGAAGCACCGGCUAACUACGUG